rnacentral:tRNA from 1 species
GGUGGGUUGACCGAGUGGUAAGGUGCGCGCUUGCUAAGCGCAGGUCAGCCUGGAAGGGCUGCGGGGGUUCGAUCCCCUCACCCACCG